rnacentral:tRNA from 1 species
GGGGGUGUGGUGAAACCGGUAUCAUAGGAAUCUCCAAAAUUUCUGUUCCUGGUUCGAGUCCAGGCGCCCCCG